CUCGGUCUGAUUCAGAGGCCCAGCCUCCGGUGCUACUGUCCGACCGCGACGACCGGGACAAUCGAGCCGCUCCUCGCAUUUCUUUCUUUUACCCUUCCCUUUUCCGCGAGGGAGGAAAGGAGAUUUUUCGUCGAACACCCUCUUCCCUCGCCGCCGCCGCCACCGCCGCGACCCGCGAGCCAUGGCGCCGUCCGCCAGCUCCUCCUCCGGCACGGACUCCACUGGUUCCUCCUCCUCAUCGGGGAGCGACCGCCGCGUCCGCCGCCGCCACAGCCGCCGCAAGGACGCCGCGCCGUCCACGUCCUCCUCCUCCGCGCUGAAGGUGCGCAAGGACCGCAAGUCCCGCCACAAGCGCCGCCGCCGGGAGAGGCGGAAGUCCCGUUCAGACGACGACAGCUACAGUAGCGCAAGCUCUUAUGAUAGUGACCGCGAGGCAUCUGGCAGAUCACGUAAGCAUAAGAAGAGCAGUAGAUCAAGGAAGUCUAGGGAAAGAGAGCGAAGCAAGGAUAGGCAUCAUAAACGGGACAAGAGUAAACAUAGAGAGGUAAAUUUUCUACUUACCUAAAAACCCCAACCUUUUAUCAUAGCUUAAAAUUUUGGUAAAUUAAAUUUGUCACAUGUAAUACUCGUUUUCUGUAGAUCAGCAACUGUUGGCGUGAUUAGAUUUAUCAUUGGCACACUUUAUAUAUAUAAAUUGAAAAAUAUUCAAUAUCAUGUACUACACACCGUCUUAGCAACAGAAAUAUUUCUUAUCCUUUUUAUUUCCAUGUGAGAGAUCCUUAUAUUUCUUGCUACCUGUUUCUGGGUUGGCUCUUUGACAUUGGAGCUGGGAUUCGUGAACGGGUGACAACAUGGUGUAUUGGCUUGCUGGUUGUCUUGGUUGUUAUGUUUUGUUCUCUUCAAUGCGGGAGCUUUAUACAGAAGAAAGAGAGUGAACGUUCUAGCGGUCCGGUCCAGCUUUCCAAGUUCCUUGGUCGCGAGAAGGAGGAAAGCGGCAAAAGGAGUGUUAUCUCUGGUAAAAAGAUAAUGAUGAAGCUCGAGAAAUCCAAGGAAGAUAAGGCGGCUGAGAGCAAGCGCAAUGAACUGUUGAAGUUUCUGAAUGCCAGUUAUGAUUGACAACUUAUCGAAAGUGGUGAUGCUUGGCUGGAUGGCUUGGAUUUGCCUUCAUGCCACUGCUUAGUCAUGUGUGUGUUUGGUGAUACCCCAAGAAGUUUUUUGUCCUGUUUUUUGAAGUUGAUGACUGUGACCAUCAGUGCUUUAUAUCGGUAUAUUUGGCUAGUGGUUGGACAAAGGUCACAUGUAUCACUAGGUCUUACAAUUUUUGAGCUUGGGGUGUUUGUGUUAUUAAAAAUUUGAUCGUUACCAGUUUGUACUUUGUAGCUUCCUUUUUGUAAGCCCGUUUAACUUGGAGAUACACCAAUUUUAUAGAAUUUUCCUGGCAGGGAUACUUGAUCUAAGCUUGU
rnacentral:rRNA from 1 species